GAUGAACGCUGGCGGCGUGCCUAAUACAUGCAAGUCGAGCGAACAGACGAGGAGCUUACUCCUCUGACGUUAGCGGCGGACGGGUGAGUAACACGUGGAUAACCUACCUAUAAGACUGGGAUAACUUCGGGAAACCGGAGCUAAUACCGGAUAACAUGUUGAACCGCAUGGUUCAACAGUGAAAGACGGUCUUGCUGUCACUUAUAGAUGGAUCCGCGUCGCAUUAGCUAGUUGGUAAGGUAACGGCUUACCAAGGCAACGAUGCGUAGCCGACCUGAGAGGGUGAUCGGCCACACUGGAACUGAGACACGGUCCAGACUCCUACGGGAGGCAGCAGUAGGGAAUCUUCCGCAUUGGGCGAAAGCCUGACGGAGCAACGCCGCGUGAGUGAAGAAGGUCUUCGGAUCGUAAAACUCUGUUAUUAGGGAAGAACAAAUGUGUAAGUAACUAUGCACGUCUUGACGGUACCUAAUCAGAAAGCCACGGCUAACUACGUG
rnacentral:rRNA from 1 species